rnacentral:rRNA from 1 species
GCGACAGGCUUAACACAUGCAAGUCGAGGGGCAGCGGUGGUGAAGGCUUGCCUUUACCAGCCGGCGACCGGCGCACGGGUGAGUAACACGUAUGCAACCUGCCUGCCACAGCCGGAUAAUCGGGAGAAAUUCCGUCUAAUACGGCAUAAUGCACCUAUGGGACAUCCUGUUGGUGCCAAAGGUUGAUUCCGGUGGCGGAUGGGCAUGCGUCGCAUUAGUUAGUUGGCGGUGUAACGGACCACCAAGACGACGAUGCGUAGGGGUUCUGAGAGGAAGGUCCCCCACACUGGUACUGAGACACGGACCAGACUCCUACGGGAGGCAGCAGUGAGGAAUAUUGGUCAAUGGGCGGGAGCCUGAACCAGCCAAGUCGCGUGAGGGAUGACGGCCCUAUGGGUUGUAAACCUCUUUUGCCGGGGAGCAAAGUGCCGCACGUGUGCGGUUUGGAGAGUACCCGGAGAAAAAGCAUCGGCUAACUCCGUGCCAGCAGCCGCGGUAAUACGGAGGAUGCGAGCGUUAUCCGGAUUUAUUGGGUUUAAAGGGUGCGUAGGCGGACGCUUAAGUCAGCGGUAAAAUUGCGGGGCUCAACCUCGUCGAGCCGUUGAAACUGGGUGCCUUGAGUGGGCGAGAAGUACGCGGAAUGCGUGGUGUAGCGGUGAAAUGCAUAGAUAUCACGCAGAACUCCGAUUGCGAAGGCAGCGUACCGGCGCCCAACUGACGCUGAAGCACGAAGGCGUGGGUAUCGAACAGGAUUAGAUACCCUGGUAGUCCACGCAGUAAACGAUGAAUGCUAGUUGUCCGGGGCGAUUGAGUUCUGGGUGACACAGCGAAAGCGUUAAGCAUUCCACCUGGGGAGUACGCCGGCAACGGUGAAACUCAAAGGAAUUGACGGGGGCCCGCACAAGCGGAGGAACAUGUGGUUUAAUUCGAUGAUACGCGAGGAACCUUACCCGGGCUCAAACGCAGGAGGGAUGUUUUUGAAAGGAGGCAGCCAGCAAUGGUCUCCUGCGAGGUGCUGCAUGGUUGUCGUCAGCUCGUGCCGUGAGGUGUCGGCUUAAGUGCCAUAACGAGCGCAACCCCUACCUACAGUUGCCAUCGCGUGAUGGCGGGCACUCUGUGGGGACUGCCUGCGCAAGCAGUGAGGAAGGCGGGGAUGACGUCAAAUCAGCACGGCCCUUACGUCCGGGGCGACACACGUGUUACAAUGGCAGGUACAGCGGGAAGCCACCCGGCGACGGGGCGCGGAACCCGAAAACCUGUCUCAGUUCGGAUUGGAGUCUGCAACCCGACUCCAUGAAGCUGGAUUCGCUAGUAAUCGCGCAUCAGCCACGGCGCGGUGAAUACGUUCCCGGGC